UUGAAAGGGAAACGAUUGAAGUCAGUCGUACCAGCGGGAAAUCAACCUUUCGAGUGGGGUUUUGGGGUUUUGAAGAGUGUUAAGCCUUUGAGAUUUCGAAACGUUCGCUCUUUUGGUGUACUUUCUCGUAGGUAGGUUAGCAUCGAUUUUGAUCAUCAUAAAAAGAUUGGAGGAAUGUAGCUUCGAUCUCGUAUUGAAGUGUUAUAGCCUUUGGUAAAUGUGAUGGUUAGGAUCGAGGAUUGCAACGAAUCCCCUUUUGGGCUAUCCGCCUGAUCUCUGAUACGUGGCCUUGGUAUCGAAAGCGUGCUUAUCGUUACGUUAUUCCGGUCAAGAGGCUAGAAUCCGAUCACAUCGCUUAAGGAUGUUGACGUA
rnacentral:rRNA from 1 species